AUGCCUACUUCAGCAACACAUACUAAAUUGGAAUACAGAGAUUGGCACGGCCCUUGUUCGAGGCUGACGUGCAAAUUCAAAAAGCAGUCCAGGUUUUU
rnacentral:snRNA from 1 species